rnacentral:rRNA from 1 species
CCUACGGGGGGCUGCAGUGGGGAAUAUUGGACAAUGGGGGCAACCCUGAUCCAGCCAUGCCGCGUGUGUGAAGAAGGCCCUCGGGUUGUAAAGCACUUUCAGUGAGGAAGAACGCCUGGUGGUUAAUACCCAUCAGGAAAGACAUCACUCACAGAAGAAGCACCGGCAAACUCCGUGCCAGCAGCCGCGGUAAUACGGAGGGUGCGAGCGUUAAUCGGAAUUACUGGGCGUAAAGCGCGCGUAGGUGGCUUGAUAAGCCGGUUGUGAAAGCCCCGGGCUCAACCUGGGAACGGCAUCCGGAACUGUCAAGCUAGAGUGCAGGAGAGGAAGGUAGAAUUCCCGGUGUAGCGGUGAAAUGCGUAGAGAUCGGGAGGAAUACCAGUGGCGAAGGCGGCCUUCUGGACUGACACUGACACUGAGGUGCGAAAGCGUGGGUAGCAAACAGGAUUAGAUACCCCGGUAGUC